CCUACGGGAGGCAGCAGUGGGGAAUAUUGGGCAAUGGGCGCAAGCCUGACCCAGCAACGCCGCGUGAAGGAAGAAGGCUUUCGGGUUGUAAACUUCUUUUCUCAGGGACGAAGCAAGUGACGGUACCUGAGGAAUAAGCCACGGCUAACUACGUGCCAGCAGCCGCGGUAAUACGAGGGUGGCAAGCGUUAUCCGGAUUUACUGGGUGUAAAGGGCGAGUAGGCGGGACUGGAAGUCAGAUGUGAAAACCACGGGCUCAACCCGUGGCCUGCAUUUGAAACUGUAGAUCUUGAGUACUGGAGAGGCAGACGGAAUUCCUAGUGUAGCGGUGAAAUGCGUAGAUAUUAGGAGGAACACCAGUGGCGAAGGCGGGCUGCUGGACAGCAACUGACGCUGAGGCGCGAAGGCGUGGGGAGCAAACAGGAUUAGAUACCCCGGUAGUC
rnacentral:rRNA from 1 species